rnacentral:rRNA from 1 species
AUGUAUCAGUUCAUCGACGACGUUCUGUACAGAAAAAGACCAAACGGUGUGAAAUUGAAGUGCAUUCCCCGGGAGAAAGGACUGGAGCUGUUGGCAGAGAUACACGGAGGCAUAUGUGGCUCCCACAUAGGGUCGAGGGCCCUUGCCGGCAAGGCAUUUCGGCAAGGUUUCUUUUGGCCCACAACCCUCCAGGAUGCAACAGCACUAGUAACCAAGUGUGAAGCGUGCCAGUUCCAUUCAAAGAAGCUUCAUCAACUAGCUCAAGCUCUCCAAACAAUCCCUCUUUCCUGGCCAUUCUUGGUCUGGGGGCUCGACAUACUGGGCCCCUUUCCCCAUGCUGUUGAGGGCUUUGAGUACUUGUACGUUGCAAUCGACAAGUUCACAAAGUGGCCGGAGGUGGAGGCAGUGAGAAAGGUGACAGCACAAUCAGCCGUCAAAAUUCUUCAAGGGGCUAGUCUGCCAUUUUGGUGUGCCAAAUAG